UACGUAGGUGGCAAGCGUUAUCCGGAAUCAUUGGGCGUAAAGGGUGCGUAGGUGGCGUACUAAGUCUGUAGUAAAAGGCAAUGGCUCAACCAUUGUAAGCUAUGGAAACUGGUAUGCUGGAGUGCAGAAGAGGGCGAUGGAAUUCCAUGUGUAGCGGUAAAAUGCGUAGAUAUAUGGAGGAACACCAGUGGCGAAGGCGGUCGCCUGGUCUGUAACUGACACUGAGGCACGAAAGCGUGGGGAGCAAAUAGGAUUAGAUACCCUAGUAGUCCACGCCGUAAACGAUGAGAACUAAGUGUUGGAGGAAUUCAGUGCUGCAGUUAACGCAAUAAGUUCUCCGCCUGGGGAGUAUGCACGCAAGUGUGAA
rnacentral:rRNA from 1 species